rnacentral:rRNA from 1 species
AGCGAACGCUGGCGGCAGGCUUAACACAUGCAAGUCGAACGCAUCCUUCGGGGUGAGUGGCAGACGGGUGAGUAACACGUGGGAACGUACCCUUCGAUCUGGGAUAACUUCGGGAAACUGGAGCUAAUACCGGAUACGCCCUUUUGGGGAAAGGUUUACUGUCGAAGGAUCGGCCCGCGUCUGAUUAGCUAGUUGGUGGGGUAACGGCCUACCAAGGCGACGAUCAGUAGCUGGUCUGAGAGGAUGAUCAGCCACACUGGGACUGAGACACGGCCCAGACUCCUACGGGAGGCAGCAGUGGGGAAUAUUGGACAAUGGGCGCAAGCCUGAUCCAGCCAUGCCGCGUGAGUGAUGAAGGCCUUAGGGCUGUAAAGCUCUUUUGUCCGGGACGAUAAUGACGGUACCGGAAGAAUAAGCCCCGGCUAACUUCGUG